AGGGUGAGGGAGGGGGUGGGAUGGGUGGGGGGUAACGGGGGAAACUGGGGAAGUGGGGAACCGAGGGGCAGGGCUGGUGGGGCCUGAGGCCAGUGAGGAGUGUGGAGGGGAGCCAGGCAUUCAUCCCGGUCACUUUUGGUUACAGGACGUGGCAGCUGGGCUGGCGGGGAGAAGCAGACACCCUCCCAGCAGAGGGGCAGGAUGGGGGCAGGAGAGUUAGCAAAGGUGACAUCUUCUCGGGGGGAGGCAGGGAGGGAGCACAGGGGUGGCCAGCGUAGGGGGCAGCUCCGUG
rnacentral:lncRNA from 1 species